CCCUUAGAUGUUCUGGGCUGCACGCGCGCUACACUGAUGCAUCCAACAAGUUUUCUCCCUUGUUCGGUAGGACUGGGUAAUCUUUUGAGUAUGCAUCGUGAAGGGGAUAGAUUAUUGCAAUUAUUAAUCUUCAACGAGGAAUUCCUAGUAAGCGCGAGUCAUCAGCUCGCGCUGAUUACGUCCCUGCCCUUUGUACACACCGCCCGUCGCUACUACUGAUUGGAUGUUUAAGCGAGGUUCUCGAACUGCUAGCGACUUAGCUUCGGUGAGGUCGCAGUGUGGGAAGUGAACCUAGCUUUGGUGUCUAGAGGAAGUAAAAGUCGUAACA
rnacentral:rRNA from 1 species